AACGAGUGUUUUGGCUUAAAUUUGCUAUGCAAGAUGGUUCUAGAUGUAAGUUUUAGCGAGAAGUAGAUUUAUUUUUAGAUAGAGUAAUUACUGAUAUUUGCAGUAGAUAGGUUUGCUUUAUUUAGGGGACUAAGAAGUAGUUAAUUAGAAAUAUGGACAAAGUUUGUGCCAGCAGUUGCGGCUAUACAAAUUAUGUGAUAGUAAAUUUUUAGUUUUAGAGAAAUUUUUAAGAGGUUUAGAUAUGGAUUUAUUAAGUGAAAUUUUAAAUUUUAUUAUAGCCUGAUGUGAUUAGUUUUAUCUAGGAAAGUUCUGUGUUAGACUAGGAUUAGAUACCCUAUUAUAGGAGAAGUGUUUUUGAAAGCUAGAUUAGUAUUAGUUAUAGUCUUGAAAAUUAAAAAAGUUGGCGGUAUCUUAGUCUAUUCAGAGGAACUUGUCCUGUAAUUGAUAAUCCACGAUUGAAUGAACUUGUAUUUUGAAUUUGCAUAUCGCCGUAGGUGGAAUAUUUUAAAAGAAUGGAAAAUGUUUAUAAAUUUUAAUGAAAAAAAAUCAGGUCAAGGUGUAGUUUAUAUACAAGAAGAGAUGAGUUACAGUAAUAUUAUUUAUACGGAAAUAGGUCUGAAACGAUUUAUUGAAGGUGGAUUUGAGGGUAAUUUUUAAUAUUUUUUAAAAAUGAUUUUAGCUCUAAGAUAUGUACAUAUCGCCCGUCGCUUUCAUUUUAAGGUGAAAUAAGUCGUAACAAAGUAGAUGUACUGGAAAGUGUCUCUAGAAAGGC
rnacentral:ncRNA from 1 species